CUGAUGGUGGUGGGUUAUGAGAACUGAUUAACAUUAGUGUCACUAACGUUGGUAUACAACUCUCCACUGCUAAGUUUAACUGGCUUAAAAAAAAAUGUAGAAGCCAAAAUCCAGAGAGGAAGCACCUGAGCUGCUGGGGUGAUUGAAGCCCGGUGCUCUGGAGCCUCCAUUUCGACGGCUGGGAGAGGGGCAGGAGGCCCUCAGAAGACAAAACCUACGGCAGUGUGGGCGGACCAGUAGGACACCUCCUAACAAAACUGAGCUCCCGGAGGACUACACCCUCGGUGUACAAAUGAACUAGAUCCACUCUGCAACAGGCAGCUUGCCUGUAUUGACCUUGGCAAUGGCUGAAGAGGGGGA
rnacentral:lncRNA from 10 species